UUAAAAUUUGGAGGGCUGCCCAAUUUUUGGCAUGGCGCCCAAAAUCUCCUCUUCAUUUCUCUGUCGCAGCUUCUCUACUUUUCCUCUUCAGAAAUUUCCAAGCGCCUCCACCCCUGCCUACCUGAGCCCAAUUCCACCGUUUUUUUUGGUUUCUGCUACUAACCCUAGGUGAUUCUUCACUUUGUCUUCUAUGCCUGUGUUCCUCCCCGUGCCUCCAUCUCCCUCACUCUCAGUCAGUCGUCAUCAUUCACACCACUCUCUUUUGCAGCCUUGUAAACCCUCACAGGUUGCAGCCUUGCAUCCUCGCAGCCCCGCAACCUCGCCGUCAAGCACUUGCCCGCCUCGCCGUCUCGACAGCCAUCACAGAGGUUACUCCAGGAGUUUGUUGAAAAACAUGAAAAUGGGUUCAAAGUGGUGUAUGUUUUGGCUGGCUGGUUGAAGAGCGAUCCUUCAAGCUACCAUAUAAGGCUUGUUUCUGGGCCUAAAUUUACAGGACAAUGUUGCACUUAUUGUUAUAUUAGAAAUGGUGGAAAAUGAGGGCUCAUCUGAUAGCAAUCGACCUACAAUUUAUGUGGUUGUAACCCUUAUCCAUGCACUUGAGAAAAUUUCCAAGUUGAAGAUUCCCUUGCUGAUUUGAACUCUGUGCCUCAGAGUGAUCCUUAUAUGUUCAUAAGCAAAGGCAGAGUUGAGAUUCUUGCCAGCAUGGAAACUGAUAAAUCGGGCGUGUUGCAGACAGUCAAGCUUUCUCAUUCAUUGAAUGUGGUAAGUGCAUAUGCAACUUUUUUUUUUAGUCGCAUGGGGUCGAGGAUCACCAACGUGAGAAGAUGAAUCCUGAAACCAAGGAGCCUUUGUUCACCAACUUUAUACCAUUCUUCUUUGGGAACUAUUUGUUAUAGUCUUUUUCUUUUUUGUUCGGACAUCUUGUAUGUACAUUUUCAUAUAUUUAUAAUUAAAUACAUUUUCUUGUUU